rnacentral:rRNA from 1 species
AAUCAACGCUGGCGGCGUGCCUCAGACAUGCAAGUCGAACGAGAAGUCCCCUUCGGGGGAUGGAUAGUGGCGCACGGGUGAGUAACACGUGGGUAAUUUACCUUUGGGUGGGGAACAACAGCCGGAAACGGCUGCUAAUACCGCAUAAUGCAGCGGCUCCUCAUGGAGACAGUUGUUAAAGCGGGGGAUCGCAAGACCUCGCGCCUGAAGAGAAGCCCGCGGCAGAUAGCUAGUUGGUAAGGUAAUGGCUUACCAAGGCGACGAUCUGUAACCGGCCUGAGAGGGCGGUCGGUCACACUGACACUGACAUACGGGUCAGACUCCUACGGGAGGCAGCAGUCGGGAAUUUUGGGCAAUGGGCGAAAGCCUGACCCAGCAACGCCGCGUGAAGGAUGAAGUUUUUCGGAAUGUAAACUUCACAAGAUUGGGAAGAAUAAGUUUUGGAUAAUACCCAAACGAUGACGGUACCAUUUGUAAGCUCCGGCUAACUCCGUGCCAGCCGCCGCGGUAAC